AUGGACAUGAGCACUGCCAACACCGAUCCGCCUCCGUCUUCCGGCAAGACAAGCUUCCUCAAGACUUGUAUCAAUGGAAUCAAUGCGCUCUCAGGGGUCGGGCUGCUGUCGAUUCCCUACGCACUGUCUCAGGGCGGAUGGCUGAGCCUGAUCGUCUUCAUGGCCAUCGCCGUCAUCUGCUUCUACACCGGGCUUCUCCUGCAGAGGUGUAUGGACUCCAGCUCGCUCGUCAACACCUACCCGGACAUCGGAGCCCACGCCUUCGGCCGGAGAGGCCGCGUCAUCGUCGCCACCUUCAUGUACCUCGAGCUCUACCUCGUCGCCAUCGACUUCCUCAUCCUGGAGGGGGAUAACCUGCACAAGCUCUUCCCGGCGGCGAGCUUCCGGCUCGGCGCGCUCCGUGUCAGCGGAAAGCAGGCGUUCGUGCUGGCGGCCACGCUGGCCGUGCUGCCGACCACGUGGUUCAGCAGCCUCAACGUGCUCGCCUACGUCGCUGCCGGUGGUGCGCUGGCGUCCGUUCUUCUCAUCGCCGCCGUCCUGUGGGUCGGGGUGUUCGACGGCGUUGGGUUCCGCGAGAGGGGCAGGCUGGUGCGUUGGGACAGCAUGCCCAGCGCCAUGAGCUUGUAUUCCUUCUGCUUCAGUGGCCAUGCCGUGUUUCCCAUGAUAUACACGGGGAUGAAAGACAGGAAGAGGUUCCCCAUGGUGCUGUCGCUGUGCUUCAUCGUGAGCACACUCAGCUACGGCUUGAUGGGCAUCGUCGGGUACCUGAUGUACGGCGACACGCUCAAAUCCCAGAUCACCCUCAACGUCCCGUCGGCGAGCGUGGCCGCCAAGGUGGCCAUAUACACCACGCUGGUGAACCCGCUGGCCAAGUACGCGCUGGUGGUCGCCCCCGUCGCCGAGGCCGCCGAGGGCGCGCUGGGCGUCGGCAAGAGCGCGCCCUUCCGCGCGCUCGUCAGGACGGUGCUCGUCGUCGGCACGGCUGUAGUCGCGCUGGCCGUGCCCUUUUUCGCCGACGUCGUGGGCCUCACGGGCGCUCUCCUCAGUUGCACGGCGACCAUGCUGCUGCCGUGCCUCUGCUACCUCAAGGUCCGGUCAAAGAUCGGCGGUGACAGGGGUAUGGGGCUGGAGACUGCAGCUUGCCUGGCCAUUGUCGCGAUUGGCACCGCGAUUGUUGGGCUGGGAACCUACAGUUCCGUGAAGCAGAUUAUACGCAAGUUAUGA
rnacentral:rRNA from 1 species